rnacentral:misc_RNA from 1 species
CGGCCAGGAUGGCGAGAAGGCCGGUGCCAGCUGAAGGUUCGAGAACGACGUCAGUAGGCGUGAUCGCGGCCGCUCGGCUGGCUACAAACGCCAGCCCGAUAGGAGUGGAGAACUGCUGGAGGGAUUCACUCUCCACAGAUCGGCGUGUCUGAGUCGGAAGGAGGCUCGCGAUCCUCAUCAGCAUCGGCAGCAUCGCGGCUGGCGG